GGACGACGCUGGCGGCGUGCCUAACACAUGCAAGUCGAACGGAGAUCCUUGGAUUGAGACUUCGGUCAAAUGAAUUGGAUCUUAGUGGCGAACGGGUGAGUAACGCGUGAGCAACCUGCCUUUCAGAGGGGGACAACAGUUGGAAACGGCUGCUAAUACCGCAUAACACAUCGAGGAGGCAUCUUUUAUGUACCAAAGAUUUAUCGCUGAAAGAUGGGCUCGCGUCCGAUUAGGUAGUUGGUGAGGUAACGGCUCACCAAGCCGACGAUCGGUAGCCGGACUGAGAGGUUGAACGGCCACAUUGGGACUGAGACACGGCCCAGACUCCUACGGGAGGCAGCAGUGGGGAAUAUUGGGCAAUGGGGGAAACCCUGACCCAGCAACGCCGCGUGGAGGAAGAAGGUUUUCGGAUCGUAAACUCCUGUCCUCAGGGAAGAGUAGAAGACGGUACCUGAGGAGGAAGCCCCGGCUAACUACGUG
rnacentral:rRNA from 1 species